rnacentral:rRNA from 1 species
UGGGGAAUAUUGGACAAUGGGCGAAAGCCUGAUCCAGCCAUGCCGCGUGUGUGAAGAAGGCCUUUUGGUUGUAAAGCACUUUAAGCGAGGAGGAGGCUACUUAGAUUAAUACUCUAGGAUAGUGGACGUUACUCGCAGAAUAAGCACCGGCUAACUCUGUGCCAGCAGCCGCGGUAAUACAGAGGGUGCGAGCGUUAAUCGGAUUUACUGGGCGUAAAGCGUGCGUAGGCGGCUUUUUAAGUCGGAUGUGAAAUCCCUGAGCUUAACUUAGGAAUUGCAUUCGAUACUGGGAAGCUAGAGUAUGGGAGAGGAUGGUAGAAUUCCAGGUCUAGCGGUGAAAUGCGUAGAGAUCUGGAGGAAUACCGAUGGCGAAGGCAGCCAUCUGGCCUAAUACUGACGCUGAGGUACGAAAGCAUGGGGAGCAAACAGG